rnacentral:rRNA from 1 species
GAUGAACGCUGGCGGCGUGCCUAAUACAUGCAAGUCGGGCGAACGGACGUGAAGCUUGCUUCUCUCAUGUUAGCGGCGGACAGGUGAGUAACACGUGGAUAACCUACCUAUAAGACUGGGAUAACUUCUGGAAACCGGAGCUAAUACCGGAUAAUAUUUUGAACCGCAUGGUUCAAAAGUGAAAGACGGUCUUGCUGUCACGUAUAGAUCGAUCCGCGCUGCAUUAGCUAGUUGGUAAGGUAACGGCUUACCAAGGCAACGAUGCAUAGCCGACCUGAGAGGGGAAUAGGCCACACUGGAACUGAGACACGGGCCAGACUCCGACGGGAGGAAGCAGUAGGGAAUCUUACGAGAUAGGAGAAAGCAUGACGGAGCAAUGCGGGAUGGGUGAUGAAGGUCUUGGGAUCGUAAAACACUGUGAUUAGGGAAGAAGAUAUGUGUAAGUAACUGUGCAAAUCAUGACGGUACCUAAUCAGAAAGCCACGGCUAACUCCGUG